UGGGGAAUUUUGGACAAUGGGGGCAACCCUGAUCCAGCCAUCCCGCGUGUGCGAUGAAGGCCUUCGGGUUGUAAAGCACUUUUGGCAGGGAAGAAAGCAGCCUGGGAUAAUACCCCCGGGCGACUGACGGUACCUGCAGAAUAAGCACCGGCUAACUACGUGCCAGCAGCCGCGGUAAUACGUAGGGUGCAAGCGUUAAUCGGAAUUACUGGGCGUAAAGCGUGCGCAGGCGGUUCGGAAGAAAGGUGUGAAUCCCAGGGCUUAACCUUGGAACUGCACUUUUAACUACCGAGCUAGAGUACGUCAGAGGGGGGUAGAAUUCCACGUGUAGCAGUGAAAUGCGUAGAGAUGUGGAGGAAUACCGAUGGCGAAGGCAGCCCCCUGGGAUGAUACUGACGCUCAUGCACGAAAGCGUGGGGAGCAAACAGGAUUAGAUACCCUGGUAGUCCACGCCCUAAACGAUGUCAACUAGCUGUUGGGGGUUUAUUAACCUUAGUAGCGCAGCUAACGCGUGAAGUUGACCGCCUGGGGAGU
rnacentral:rRNA from 1 species